CUUUCUAGUAUGCUAACUGCAAUCGACCUAGGCCAAAGCCAUAUUGCUACGACAAUGGCCAAGAAAAGUGCUCCUGUGUCUGCGUGAGCCCCAGCACUCCUUGCACGCAAAUACCAAGCAAUGGCUGCAACCUCAAAGAAAAUUGCUCAGAAGGUCAUGGUGUCUGCCUCUGUCGUUGCGAAGUCUGGUAAUGAAGGAGCCAGCAGGAAUAUGCCAUGGAACCAACCGAUCAUGGAAAUGACAUCAUCCUUCCAGCUCUCUGUUGAACUACUUGACUGCAAAGAAAGCUUAUUAAUACAUGAGGUGGCUUCAACUCUCUCUUUUAUGAAGAUAUAUUUGUGAAUAUGUGAAUAA